rnacentral:rRNA from 1 species
UACGUAGGGUGCGAGCGUUAAUCGGAAUUACUGGGCGUAAAGCGUGCGCAGGCGGCCUGAUAAGUCAGAUGUGAAAUCCCCGAGCUCAACUUGGGAACUGCGUUUGAAACUAUCAAGCUAGAAUAUGUCAGAGGGGGGUAGAAUUCCACGUGUAGCAGUGAAAUGCGUAGAGAUGUGGAGGAAUACCAAUGGCGAAGGCAGCCCCCUGGGAUAAUAUUGACGCUCAUGCACGAAAGCGUGGGGAGCAAAC